rnacentral:rRNA from 1 species
AUGGGAACGCGAAGAACCUUACCUACCCUUGACAUGGCAGGAAUCCUGAAGAGAUUUGGGUAGGUGCUCGAAAAGAAGAACCUGCACACAGGUGCUGCAUGGCUGUCGUCAGCUCGUGUCGUGAGAUGUUGGGUUAAGUCCCGCAACGAGCGCAACCCUUGUCAUUAGUUGCUACGCAAGAGCACUCUAAUGAGACUGCCGGUGACAAACCGGAGGAAGGUGGGAUGACGUCAAGUCCUCAUGGCCCUUAUGGGUAGGGCUUCACACGUCAUACAAUGGUACAUACAGAGGGCCGCCAACCCGCGAGGGGGAGCUAAUCCAGAAAGUGUAUCGUAGUCCGGAUUGUAGUCUGCAACUCGACUGCAUGAAGUUGGAAUCGCUAGUAAUCGCGGAUCAGCAUGUCGCGGUGAAUACGUUCCCGGGUUC